GGCCAAAUGGCGCAGUGGAAAAAUUCAUGGCUAAGAAUUAUCACACCGGGGUUCGACUCCCCGCUGUGGUCG